rnacentral:misc_RNA from 1 species
AACUUUCGGCAACGGAUCACUUGGCUCUCGCAUCGAUGAAGAACGCAGCGAAAUGCGAUAAGUAAUGUGAAUUGCAGAAUUCAGUGAAUCAUCGGAUCUUUGAACGCACCUUGCGCCCCUUGGCUAUUCCGAGGGGCAUGCAUGUUUGAGUAGCAUGAACACCUCAACUCUCAUGGUUUGCCAUGAUGAGUUGGACUCUGGGGGUUUUGCUGGCCUGUGGUCGGCUCCUCUCAAAUUAGUCAGGCUCCCAGUGGUUGGUGGCAUCACGCUUGUGAUAAAUACCUACAGUGGCUGUUGGCUUCCAGGUAACCGUUGGUCACAAACGCUUGCUGGUGCUCGCAGAUGUCUCUCCUCAUCGAGGACAGCUUUUUUAACGUUCGAUCUCGAAUCAGGUAGGGCUACCCGCUGACCUUAAGCAUAUCAAUAAGAGGAGGGU